rnacentral:rRNA from 1 species
GUGAACGCUGGCGGUAGGCCUAACACAUGCAAGUCGAACGGCAGCACAGUAAGAGCUUGCUCUUACGGGUGGCGAGUGGCGGACGGGUGAGGAAUACAUCGGAAUCUACUUUUUCGUGGGGGAUAACGUAGGGAAACUUACGCUAAUACCGCAUACGACCUACGGGUGAAAGCAGUGGCUCUUCGGACCUUGCGCGAUUGACUGAGCCGAUGUCGGAUUAGCUAGUUGGCGGGGUAAAGGCACACCAAGGCGACGAUCCGUAGCUGGUCUGAGAGGAUGAGCAUCCACACUGGAAUUGUGACACGGUCCAGACUCCUACGGGAGGCAGCAGUGGGGAAUAUUGGACACUGGGCGCAAGCCUGAUCCAGCCAUACCGCGUGGGUGAAGAAGGCCUUCGGGUUGUAAAGCCCUUUUGUUGGGAAAGAAAAGCAGCAGGUUAAUACCCCGCUGUCCUGACGGUACCCAAAGAAUAAGCACCGGCUAACUUCGUG